CACGUAGGGUGCGAGCGUUGUCCGGAAUUAUUGGGCGUAAAGAGCUCGUAGGCGGUGUGUCGCGUCGGCCGUGAAAACCUGCAGCUUAACUGUGGGCUUGCGGUCGAUACGGGCAUCACUGGAGUUCGGCAGGGGAGACUGGAAUUCCUGGUGUAGCGGUGAAAUGCGCAGAUAUCAGGAGGAACACCGGUGGCGAAGGGCGGGUCUCUGGGCCGAUACUGA
rnacentral:rRNA from 1 species